GCCAAAAUAAUUGGGCCUAGAAGUUUGGGCUCCAUAUACAUGGGCCGAAGAUUAUCUGAUUAUUCCGCCUCCCACUGACGCAAACGUUUUCAAAACGGAAAGGAAGUGAGAUAUUUUUCCAGCGACGAAGAAACCAUGGCGGGAAUCGAUACGCAGAAGCAGCUUCUCUCUCUGAUCCGCGACUUCACCUCUGAAAGAUCUCGUGGAGAGCAAAGAGUGGUUGGAUUGAAGAAGCGGAUCGAGUCUCUGCAAUCGGAAGUUGAAGCAGCGAACGAAGAAGUUGAAAAGGCGAAACGAAUCAAAGAAGUGGCGGAAGAGGAGCUCAACGGCUACGAAGUUGAAUCGUCUUUGAACGAUGCUACGAUUCAAUCUCUUGAGGCAAGGAUUGCUCUUCUUCAGGAUGAAGUUUCUACUGUUGGCAAUGAAGUAGAUGCUCUCAAGAACAAGGAAGGAUUACUUAGAGAUCAAUUUAUAAGCCAAAUGGUUGAGCUGAACAAGGAAAUAAGGGUGUUCCAGAGAACUGUAGCCUCCAGUGUGGGAAAUGAUGAUAGUACUAGCAUAACAGCAACAGAUGUUGAAGUUUUUGAGGAUGGUCAUGGAGCUGAUUCACAAGCUAUCAAGGAUAUGCUAUCUGAUGUAAAUUCUCAAUUAGCAAAAGAGGAGGAAGGAUACUUAGCGGAGCAGAACAUAAAAGAACAGCUGCAGAAAGAGCUUGAUGAAUAUGAGAAGAAGAUGUCACUCAUGGAGGCCAUAACAGAGAAAACAAACUCAGUGCAUGCUCUCGCUGAGCAGAGUUCUGAGCUGGAACAGACAUUGGCUUCACUGGGGGAGGAGCUGCAGAAGAGAUGCCGAUGCCAACAUUGCCAGGCAGAAAAUUUGGAAGUCUUGAGCUUACUUCUCCAAGGAGACCAGGAUAUGGUGGUGUCUUAGUUAAAGAGAAUCUUACAUGUGGGUUGCUUGAGGGAAGAUUGAUUUACUCAGGUUCCAAAAUCUUGCAGAGGAUAGAGACCAAAACCAGAAAACUAAGAGCAAAAAGAAGAGAGAAAUGAAAUAACCUUGGAGACGGCUUUCAUGAAGGUUACAUCAUUGAAAGAACCACCUAUGUCAUUCAGUAGUAAGCCGGUGAAGAAAAAUAUAAUAGGAGCGAUGAAGCCAUCACCAAUGGCUCCGAUUAAUCCUAAUCCCAUCAACAUCCAGUCCACACCGUCCGCGUUCAUAAAAAUCAAUCUUAUGCUUCCCCAAAUCUUCAUUUUAACUUUCUCCUUUUCCUUCACCUCUAAACUGUUUGAGAGAAAAGACCUGUACGACACCUUAACCUUAAGGAAACGAUAGCUCACUCACAGCAUUUUUUAGGCGCCUUUUCUUGUGUAGUGUUGUGGUUCUCCCGUCCCUGGUCGUUUUAUAUUAGCAUGUGAGACACAGAAAGAUUACUACACGAAAGUUUGAUUCUUAUAAAAUGUGUUUAUUAUAAUU